AGGAAGAAAUUCUUUCCUUCAUCUCUUUCCCUCAAUUCAGUCUACAUUCAACCUUGAGCCCCAAGCAAAUUUUCCUUCUCAUUCACUCUACUUGACUCUACAAAUCAGACACAAUUUCAACUAAAUUCCAACCAAAAAAACAAAAUCAAAAUUCAAUUUCAAUUGUCUCUGUUUCUUUGAUUCGAACCAUCUCCCACCACCAUCAACCACCACCGUUUACCACCACCACCACCUGCUGCCUCCAUCAUUCCCAGCCACCCGCACCCGCACCAAACCGAUCACCGCCUCCGCCUCCGCCCAGAACCAACCGGAAAACACCUCUCCAAUCUCCCAUGUUUUUCCCCUGUUUUGUGCGACCACCAUAACCCCCUUCCCUGACUGUUCCGCCGCCGCGGAACCACACCACCACCACCACCACCGUCUCUCUGGCGCUUCCCUGUUGCGUCGCCUCCCAAUCCGCCCAGAACCUCCGCCCAAACCUCCGGUCACCAUCACCCCUCUCCUCCCCUGAUUUCUCCCCUGUUCGCGUCCCUCUCCCCCUUCCCUCGCCUGUUUCUGCCGCCUCAAACCACCAUCACCGUCGCCUCUCGGCGCGGUUUCGCCGCCCAGGCUGAGCCCCCAGCCUCCCUCCUCUCUUCCUCCUCCUCCUCCUCAUGUUUUCCUGUUGUGCCCCCCCCUGCUGCUCGUGCCCUUCAAAUUUCAGAAACAAAGUUUCUGAAAUUGAAACUUUGUUUUAUUCCCCCUUAUUCAAGUUGGGCCAAAUCAAUUGGGCUUUGGAAAUUGGACUCGGAAUUCGGGAAGAACGAUCCAUCGAACAGGAAGUAUAAACUACGGUUGAGGUAUGAAGAAGAUCAUGGGAUGCCUUAGAGUGAGGAUGCAACCAUCAAUGUCACGAUCGAUGUUUAAUAAUGAUAACUAUGUCAUUAGUAAUAAAGGGAUGUAUUAAUUAAACUCUAAGUUUGAUUUCACAAUUUGAGUUAGAUUUUCAAAUUAAUGUUUAAACAUGUUAGAAAUAUUUAUUAAGGUUUACUUAGAUUUCAAUGUAAUUUUUAAAGAAUUAAUCGAAGUGAAGUAUAAUUACUGUUACUCAACAGUAGUCAGUAAAUGUAAAAAGGUUAUGUCGCCUUGUAUUUCCCACGAGGGAGAUACGGCAUGUGACGCUCCGACUAAAUUAGGGUUUCCGCUGCUAAUUAAAGAUAAUUAACCUAAUUAAUGGUGUUUAGAAGUCGGGGCGUUACAAAAUGACAUCGAAUUACGGUGGUGACACAAGAUUAAUGUCCGAUCAACAACCUUCCCAAAUAUGAAAACCUACAUUCGAAAAUCAAAACAAAGUUAGAUAAUUUUCUUCAUAAUUAGUUGAUUUAUUACACCGUUUUUUGUUUUGAGGCUUAAGCUAGAAAAGUAAUAAUUGUACAUUUAUAAAUUAAGUAAUUCUUCUCUUUUUUCCUUUUGUUUUUCAUUCACUUUUAUUUAAUGUAUUAUUUAACGUCAAAGGAAUAUAUAUGUUUUAUGUUUAUAUAGAAAGAUGUACCAUAAGUUGUGGUUGGCUAAGAUGGUAUGAAGUGUAACUUUUAACAUAAAGGUUUGGUGUUCGAUCCUUGUUACAUGUUUUUUUUGUUGUAAUGACAUGUCUUGAUGCUAAUUAGUGUUGACGUAGCGUAAUGAGGAGAGAUAUAUGUGACACGUAUACAUUCUUAAGAACGCCUGUCAGCGCAAUAUUUAGCUUCACUAUUAUUCGAUUUGUAACCGAUUCGAGAUAUGUAAAACAUUAAAACGAAGCAGCGACUCAGAAUUGCGGCAAACAAAAUCCUAACACUUUAAAACAUGCAAAGUUCAAGUUACUAUUGCAGCAAUAGUGCUCUGACAAUUUUGCCCCUAACUUUCCAGCUUAACUACAGGUCCUUGGUCUUAGCUUUCUCUGGGAACUUCUACUACUUCCAAUUUCAGCAAACCUUAACUCUCUCAUCUUUCCAAUCUCCUUCGCCUUUCACCGUUCUCUCAAGGUUUUUCAUAUCUCCCAAUUUUUUUUCAAAGUUCGUUCUUCUUCAAGAUUUUGUUUGUUUAUGGUGAUCGAGAUGUUCGCAAGGUGAAAAUUUCCGUUUUCAGUGGGUUUGUUCUUUAUGUUGCUGUUUUUCAGAUGG